rnacentral:rRNA from 1 species
CGGUGAAUACGUUCCCGGGCCUUGUACACACCGCCCGUCAAGCCAUGAAAGCUGGGGGAACCUGAAGUCUGUCACCGCAAGGAGCGGCCUAGGGUAAAACCGGUAAUUGGGGCU